GACGAACGCUGGCGGCGUGCCUAAUACAUGCAAGUUGAGCGCUGAAGGUUGGUACUUGUACCGACUGGAUGAGCAGCGAACGGGUGAGUAACGCGUGGGGAAUCUGCCUUUGAGCGGGGGACAACAUUUUGAAACGAAUGCUAAUACCGCAUAAAAACUUUAAACACAAGUUUUAAGUUUGAAAGAUGCAAUUGCAUCACUCAAAGAUGAUCCCGCGUUGUAUUAGCUAGUUGGUGAGGUAAAGGCUCACCAAGGCGAUGAUACAUAGCCGACCUGAGAGGGUGGUCGGCCACAUUGGGACUGAGACACGGCCCAAACUCCUACGGGAGGCAGCAGUAGGGAAUCUUCGGCAAUAGACGAAAGUCUGACCGAGCAACGCCGCGUGAGUGAAGAAGGUUUUCGGAUCGUAAAACUCUGUUGGUAGAGAAGAACGUUGGUGAGAGUGGAAAGCUCAUCAAGUGACGGUAACUACCCAGAAAGGGACGGCUAACUACGUG
rnacentral:rRNA from 1 species